rnacentral:rRNA from 1 species
UACGGAGGGUGCGAGCGUUGUCCGGAAUCACUGGGCGUAAAGGGCGCGUAGGCGGCGCGGGGAGUCAACGGUGAAAGCUCGGCGCUCAACGCCGAGUCGGCCGUCGAUACUCCCGUGCUCGAGCACUGUAGAGGCAGGUAGAAUUCCGGGUGUAGCGGUGGAAUGCGUAGAGAUCCGGAAGAACACCGGUGGCGAAGGCGGCCUGCUGGGCAGUAGCUGACGCUGAGGCGCGACAGCGUGGGGAGCAAACAGG